UACGUAGGCAGCAAGCGUUGUUCGGAGUUACUGGGCGUAGAGAGUGCGUAGGUGGUGCCCUAAGUCUGUUGUGAAAUCUCCCGGCUUAACUGGGAGGGUGCGGUGGAAACUGGGGUGCUUGAGUGUGGGAGAGGUAAGCGGAAUUCCUGGUGUAGCGGUGAAAUGCGUAGAUAUCAGGAGGAACACCGGUGGUGUAGACGGCUUACUGGACCACGACUGACACUGAGGCACGAAAGCGUGGGUAGCAAACAGG
rnacentral:rRNA from 1 species